UACGUAGGUCCCGAGCGUUGUCCGGAUUUAUUGGGCGUAAAGCGAGCGUAGGUGGUUUAUUAAGUCUGGUGUAAAAGGCAGUGGCUCAACCAUUGUAUGCAUUGGAAACUGGUAGACUUGAGUGCAGGAGAGGAGAGUGGAAUUCCAUGUGUAGCGGUGAAAUGCGUAGAUAUUAGGAGGAACACCAGUGGCGAAAGCGGCUCUCUGGUCUGUAACUGACGCUGAGGUUCGAAAGCGUGGGUAGCAAACAGG
rnacentral:rRNA from 1 species